rnacentral:rRNA from 1 species
GGGGGGUGCGAGCGUUGUCCGGAAUCACUGGGCGUAAAGGGCGCGUAGGUGGUCUGAUAAGGGUGUGGUGAAAGCCCGGGGCUCAACCCCGGGUCGGCCGUGCCGACUGUUGGACUAGAGUGCUGUAGGGGCAGGCGGAAUUCCGGGUGUAGCGGUGGAAUGCGUAGAGAUCCGGAGGAAGACCGGUGGCGAAGGCGGCCUGCUGGGCAGUUACUGACACUGAGGCGCGACAGCGUGGGGAGCAAACAGGAUUAGAUACCCUGGUAGUCCACGCCGUAAACGAUGAUGACUAGCUGUCGGGGCGCUUAGCGUUUCGGUGGCGCAGCUAACGCGUUAAGUCAUCCGCCUGGGGAGUACGGCCGCAAGGUUA